GCAGACACAUUCCAGCCAAUCAGCAGCAGACCCUCCCUCCCAGACCCUCCCACCUCCUGGACAGCAUUCAUUGUGAAGCUGCAUUCUUAGUGAGCUGUCCAGGAGGUGGGAGGGUCUGGGAGGGAGGGUCUGCUGCUGAUUGGCUGGAAUGUGUCUG